UGUCGAAGAUUUUGAUAAUAGAAACGGCCGGUGUGCUGGUGAAUUCGGAAGCGUUGACCCGGCGCGGCGGGGCGAAGCUUUCCGGCUGAUCACCCGGUAUGGACACACUUACGUGCAUCUAACACACGAUCGGAAGAACACA